GGGUUAUUUCGUUGCUUUUAAAUGCAGGAAAACUUGCUCCUGUGAGUGCCAGUGUCAUGGUAGUGGCUGUUAAACAAUCCAAUUUUUUUACCGAAGCUGUGC
rnacentral:lncRNA from 1 species